rnacentral:rRNA from 1 species
CGCGUGGGAACGUGCCUUCGGGUGGGGGAUAAGCCUGGGAAACUAUGGCUAAUACCGCAUGAUGUCUGCGGACCCUAGCCGCGAGGCGCCCGGAGAGCGCCCCGCGUCCGAUUAGCUACUUGGUGGGGUAACGGCCUACCAAGGCGACGAUCGGUAGCUGGUCUGACAGGAUGAUCAGCCACACUGGGACUGAUGACACGGCCCACACUCCUACGAGAGGCAGCAGUGGCGGAAUAUUGGACAAUGUCCCGAAAGCCUGAUCCACCCAUGCCGCGUGGGUGAAGAAGGCCCUAGGGUUGUAAAGCCCUUUCGGCGGGGACGAUGAUGACGGUACCCGCAGAAGAAGCCCCGGCUAACUUCGUGCCAGCGGCCGCGGUAAUACGAAGGGGGCUAGCGUUGCUCGGAUUUACUGGGCGUAUGGGGCGCGUAGGCGGUCGUGUCAGUCGGGCGUGAAAGCCCCGGGCUCAACCUGGGAAUUGCGCUCGAGACGGCACGACUAGAGGUCUAGAGAGGAUGGUGGAACUCCCAGUGUACAGGUGAAAUUCGUAAAUAUUGGGAAGAACACCGGUGGCGAAGGCGGCCAUCUGGCUCGAUCCUGACGCUGAGGCGCUAAAGCGUGACGAGCAGACAGGAUUACAUACCCUGGUAGUCCACGCCGUAAACGAUGUGCGCUGGAUGUUGGCCGACCUA